GACGAACGCUGGCGGCGUGCUUAACACAUGCAAGUCGAACGGAAAGGCCCUGCUUUUGUGGGGUGCUCGAGUGGCGAACGGGUGAGUAACACGUGAGUAACCUGCCCUUGACUUUGGGAUAACUUCAGGAAACUGGGGCUAAUACCGGAUAGGAGCUCCUGCUGCAUGGUGGGGGUUGGAAAGUUUCGGCGGUUGGGGAUGGACUCGCGGCUUAUCAGCUUGUUGGUGGGGUAGUGGCUUACCAAGGCUUUGACGGGUAGCCGGCCUGAGAGGGUGACCGGCCACAUUGGGACUGAGAUACGGACCAGACUGCUACGGGAGGCAGCAGUGGGGAAUAUUGCACAAUGAGCGGAAGCCUGAUGCAGCAACGCCGCGUGCGGGAUGACGGCCUUCGGGUUGUAAACCGCUUUCGCCUGUGACGAAGCGUGAGUGACGGUAAUGGGUAAAGAAGCACCGGCUAACUACGUG
rnacentral:rRNA from 1 species